UCAAAGCAAUAAACAUAUGGUUAAAAAAAAAAGAAAAAAAAACAAAACCAAAAUUAAAUUAAAUUAAAUCGUAAGUCACAAAACACGCUGAAUAUCUUUAUCAAUAAAGUAGGUAUAACAUCUUAAUCUGAAUUUUUUAUAGUCACUUAGAGCUAUGAUAUCUUCCGGUAGUUGAUUCCAAAUACGAACAGCAGUAACCAAAAAUGAUUUGUCAUAAGUCCUGGUUCUUGCAUAAGACUAGCAGUCGCACCAUCGACAAUAUCUAAUGUGGAUGGCUUUUGUUCUCCAGGUACUACAGAAAAUGUAAAUCUUUGUAAGAGACAAGCUAUUACAAUGAAUAAAUUACUUCUUGCUAAUGUUUCUCCCAUACAGCGAUGGCGACCUGUUACGAGUAUAAAUAUAUUUAUCAAUUUUAUCUUUCUUAUUAUUUUUUUUAUUAUUUUUAAUUGUAUUUUAUAUAAACGUACCUAUACUGAAUGGAAAAUAUUGAUCUUGUACAGAAAUUUUACCAUUUUUAUCAAUAAAUCUUUCUGGUCUGAA
rnacentral:lncRNA from 1 species